rnacentral:rRNA from 1 species
GCUUGCUCUCGGGUGACGAGUGGCGGACGGGUGAGUAAUGUCUGGGAAACUGCCUGAUGGAGGGGGAUAACUACUGGAAACGGUAGCUAAUACCGCAUAACGUCGCAAGACCAAAGAGGGGGACCUUCGGGCCUCUUGCCAUCAGAUGUGCCCAGAUGGGAUUAGCUAGUAGGUGGGGUAACGGCUCACCUAGGCGACGAUCCCUAGCUGGUCUGAGAGGAUGACCAGCCACACUGGAACUGAGACACGGUCCAGACUCCUACGGGAGGCAGCAGUGGGGAAUAUUGCACAAUGGGCGCAAGCCUGAUGCAGCCAUGCCGCGUGUAUGAAGAAGGCCUUCGGGUUGUAAAGUACUUUCAGCGGGGAGGAAGGUGUUGUGGUUAAUAACCACAGCAAUUGACGUUACCCGCAGAAGAAGCACCGGCUAACUCCGUGCCAGCAGCCGCGGUAAUACGGAGGGUGCAAGCGUUAAUCGGAAUUACUGGGCGUAAAGCGCACGCAGGCGGUCUGUCAAGUCGGAUGUGAAAUCCCCGGGCUCAACCUGGGAACUGCAUUCGAAACUGGCAGGCUAGAGUCUUGUAGAGGGGGGUAGAAUUCCAGGUGUAGCGGUGAAAUGCGUAGAGAUCUGGAGGAAUACCGGUGGCGAAGGCGGCCCCCUGGACAAAGACUGACGCUCAGGUGCGAAAGCGUGGGGGAGCAAACAGGAUUAGAUACCCUGGUAGUCCACGCCGUAAACGAUGUCGAUUUGGAGGUUGUGCCCUUGAGGCGUGGCUUCCGGAGCUAACGCGUUAAAUCGACCGCCUGGGGGAGUACGGCCGCAAGGUUAAAACUCAAAUGAUUUGACGGGG